GGAGGGGACAGCUCAGUGGUACAGUGUGUGCCUGGCAUGCACCGGGUUCUGGGUUCAAUCCCCAGUCCGUCCG
rnacentral:tRNA from 1 species